rnacentral:piRNA from 1 species
UGUUUUAUUGUUAGACGGCUCGGGC